GACGUCCUUGAGAAAUUUCAUGGAAAUUCUUGCAAAAUAUCUCGCCCCUGAGGUCUUUUAUUUACUUGUGUGGCAGCAGUGUGAAAUGUGAAUUCCUGUUUUGCAACGAAGUCUCGCCGUGGCUUCGUUUUCCUUUGUGGACCGUUCUUUGGCAGUGAAAGGGACCCAAGCAACGUGCUCUGUCCUUGCCUUCAGAGCUAGAUGACAGUGAAGACCAAGACCCGGGAGCCCGUCGCCCAGAACUCCAGAAGCAAAAAUAGUCUCCCUGCCAUCUAGCUAAGCAACUCCAUCCACCUCAGAUCCACAAGCUCUGCUUUCGGAACCCAAAAUCUCUGAACCUCAACCAGUUCCUCCUCUUCCAGCGCGUGUUUGGGGAUCGGAUCAUUGCACUGGCACUGAGUUGGAACUAAUCAAGAUCUGCUGGAUCUUGAGCCCCAAAAAACCAUUUCGUGAUUGCAACCAUUGCUGCGUUUCAAUAUUUGGAGAUGGAGUAGGCGAAAGCAGCUGAUCAUCCAGACUCCCCAGUGAGCGCCUGCGCCGCGCACGCUCAAGGACUUCACCAGGUAGUAAGCACAAGUGACGUUGCUGCCCCUCUGUAGAGAAGAGGCUCAAAACGAGAACCUCUGCAGUAUGAGUGGAGUGGAGGCUGCUUUAGCGGCUGGAGUGUUGAAGACUGCUGGUGGCAAGCUAGUUUCACUGAUAUCCAGUGAGUUUACUUCCAUAACAGGUGUCAAGAAAGACCUCUGUGAGCUCCAGGGAAAACAUCAGGAGAUAAGUAGCUGGCUGUCUGUAGUUCGUGACAGAGCAUUAGGGAGUGGCACACAGCUUCCAUGGGUGAACGAAUUGAGAAAUGUUGCCUAUGAUAUUGAAGAUUUACUCUAUGGAGUCCACCUUGAAGCUGAGAAAGACAAGAUACAAAGCGACGGUGACAAGCAACCAAUAGCAGACUACUUCUGUGCAAAACCAAAAUCAUUACUGUUCAGAUGCAAGGUGGCUAGUAAGAUCAAGGCAAUCAAGGUGAAAUAUGAGAAGAUUGUGAAGCAGGCAAGGGAUGCCAACAUUAUAAGGAACAAUUUACAAAUGGAUCAUCCUGCUCGGAGCAGCUACACCAGGACUGCUGGAGAGCCCUCCAUGCUAUCAAAUGUUGAAGACUCCAAAAUACCAAGAAGAGAUCAGGAGAAGGAUGAAAUUGUAAGUAAGAUUUUAGAACCAAAUGAAGGGGAGGAUGGCAGAACGGUAGUAUCUAUUGUUGGAUUAGGUGGGUCUGGCAAAACUACUUUGGCCAAACAAAUCUGCCAUGACAAGAAGAUAAAGGAGAACUUCAAAGAUAUGAUAUUCUGGGUCUAUGUGUCUCAAGAAUUUGAUGGAAACAAGCUUAUUGGCAAACUAUUUGAAGCUAUCAUUGAGGAAAAAUCUGAUCUUCAUGUUCAACAGAAAAUGCUCCGUGAAAUUUCAAACAAGUUAAGUGGUAAGAAGUUUCUUCUUGUCCUGGAUGAUGCAUGGCAUCAUAACAAGCAUGACUGGGAACAACUCAUGGUGCACCUAAAGAGUGGUGCAGUCGGAAGCAAGAUUUUGCUCACUACUCGUGAUAGGAAGGUUGCAGAAAUUGUGAAAUCAAGGCAUAUAUUCAAGCUAGGGAUGUUAUCAGAGGCUGAGAGUUGGAGCUUGUUCCUAAAGAGCUCUGGGUGGGUAGAGGAGGAUUUAGGCUCUGAGUAUAUAAAAGUUGGAAAAGUGAUCCUGAACAGAUGUAGUGGGGUGCCUCUAGCAAUCAGAACACUUGGAGGUAUCCUCUAUGAAAACAAGGAAAUAAGUAUAUGGAAAGCCAUAGGACAGAGUGAUUUAUGGACGGAUGAGAGUAUAGAAGACAGAGUGUUCGCUUCUUUGAAAUUGAGCUUCAUUCACCUGCCAGAUGAACUAAAGCAGUGCUUCACACUUUGCUCUAUAUUCCCAAAGGGCACAAAAAUCUACAAAGAUCGCUUGAUUUCCCAAUGGGUAGCCCAUGGAUUCAUCAAUUCAAUGAAUGGAAAGCAGCCAGAAGAUAUCGGAAGUGGCUACUUUGAUUCUCUUGUAAAAGUUGGCUUUCUUCAGGAUCCUUUUAAGGACAGGGAUACUAAACAGCUAGUAUGCAAGAUGCACGAUUUGAUUCAUGAUCUCAGUCGACACAUACUGCAGGAUGAAGUGGUGACUUGUCCACCUAGUAAUAUGAUAGCGAACCACACUCAGAGGUGCAGAUACUUAUCAUUGACUUCAUGUCCAGAGAAGGUUCAUAGGAAUUCAUUUCACAAGGCCCGUGCUCUCUUUAUCUCUGGAGGUAAUCCAAAAUUUGAUAAACCAGUUAAGAAGAGCUCCAGUGUCCGCAGUGUUGUUCUGGAAAACACUCCAUUUCCUCAAUUCACACUGAAAUUUGAAUAUAUUGGAUAUCUUGAAAUCCAUGAGCUUGGUUGCACGAAAUUUCUAGAAGCCAUCUCAAGUUGUUGGAACUUGCAGUCACUUCAUUUAAUCAGGUGCAACGUUGCAUUACCAGAAUCUAUUGGCAAGCUAAAGAAGCUCCGAAUUCUAGAGUUGACUUUAGCUUAUUGUCUUAACAGUUUACCUCAGUCAAUUGGUGAUUGUCGAGACCUUCAAUCCUUGAUUCUGUAUCGUUGUGAAAAUUUCAGAGAGAUACCUGGCACCAUAUUUAAAAUUAAAAACUUGAGGGGCCUUCAUAUAUCUUCGUGUUCAUUUCUGAAACAAUUUCCGUCAGAAUUCGCCGGGGUGUUCAGCAACUUGCAGACAAUCAACUUAGCUAAUUCUACAGAGUUUCAGGGGCUGCCAAGCACAUUGUCAUGUCCACUAUUGUGUACACUUGAUCUUUCUAACACCAAAGUUACCAUGCUACCUCCAUGGAUUACUACAAUUGAUACUCUAGAGUGUAUAAACCUUGAACAGUGCUCUGAGCUAGUGGAGCUGCCUAAAGGUAUAGGUAACUUGAAAAGACUUGCAGUUUUGAACAUAAAGGGUUGCAGCAAACUGCGUUGCAUGCCGUCAGGUAUUGGACAGCUGACCCGUUUAACACAGCUGGCCUUUUUUGUUGUCGGGUGUGGUAGAGAUGAUGCGAAAAUCUCGGAGCUUGAAAAUCUUGAUAUGCUAAGUGGUGAAUUGGAAAUUAGAAACCUUAUGUAUUUGAAGGAUCCAUGUGAUACUGUGAAGGCUUGCUUGAAACAGAAGAAUGGCAUAAAGAAUCUGGUUUUGGACUGGUCUUUGAGUGAAGGAGAAGAAGAGUUAGCUUCAGAUGUGGAAAAAGAGCAGGGUGUGCUGAGUGGUCUUGAACCACCAUCGCAAAUUGAGAGCUUGGUAAUUCGUCGUUACCAAGGUCCUUGUUUGCCACGGUGGUUGAUGGAGCAGAAUGGUUCUUCUUACUCUGAAGGCACUACGUUAAAGCAAACUGGUCCUUGUCAGUACCCGUCUUUAACCUGUCUGACACUAUUUCGUUCUCCCAACUUGAAGCAUAUGCGAGGACUUAUGAGAUUUCCUUCGCUGAAGUCCCUCAAUCUGUCGGAAAUGGCAAGUUUAGAGGAGCUGUGGACUAUAGCAAGCGGUAUAGAAAUUCAAGAGGUGGAAUUAAGUGUACAAUAUUGCUUCCCUGUCCUAUCGAACCUAUCUAUAACGGACUGCCCUCAAUUGAGUGCUGUGAAACCGUACUUACCACCAUCGCUGGAGAAUCUGUCUUUAGAUAGAAGCGACUUGCAGCUGUUAUCCCCAAGUAACUUCUCUCGUCUGCUUCCAUCACCUUCCAAUGAAUCCUCAUCGUCCAGCAGCCUGCACUCAGCAGUCCCUCACCUUAGAGAACUGCAACUAUAUCACGGAAUAGUAGGAUCAUCAUCUGGCUGGGAAUUAUUGCGGCACCAUACAAAACUGGAGACCAUAUCUUUCUAUUUCUGCGAUGACCUGACACAAGUACCUGAGAGCAUUCGAAGCCUCACCUCCCUCCAGGUGCUGCAUAUCAGAGGAUGCCCCGCCCUUGGCGCGCUGCCUGAGUGGCUGGGAGAACUGUGCUCCUUACGACAUCUGAAUGUCUCCCAAACCCCAUUGAUUUCUAGCUUCCCUCGAUCGAUAGGGAACCUAACGUCCCUCACCAAGCUUGAAAUUGGAUGGUGGGACAAUCUGAAGAUGCUGCCUGACGCAAUUCAGCACCUAACCUCCCUUGAAUCUCUCGAAUUGAUAUAUUGCCGUGCGCUGGUCGAGCUGCCAGAGGGCAUCGGGCAACUAUCUGCGCUUCGGCGGCUUUACAUCGAUGGUUGCUCUGCUCUUCAGUGCCUGCCUCAGUCCAUCCAACACUUAACUGCUCUCCAGAGUUUGUAUAUUUACAACUGCCCUGCUUUGACGAGUCGUUACAAGCAAGGAGUGGGGCCGGACUGGCACCUUGUCUCACACAUCCCUCGCGUGUGGAUAUAUCCAAAGUUUUAAAUCUCCCGCUAUAGCUUCUGCUAUAGACCGCUAUAGCUAUUUAUGCAUGGUGCCGCUAUUUGAACUCACGUGUAAUUUAGCCGCUAUAUCCCGCUAUAGCCUCAUUUAACCCGCUAUUAGCUGUUUUCAGAAUUCAGCCGCUAAACUCUUUAGCCCGCUAUUUAGAACCUUGGAUAUAUCCCUCCUAAGACAUGCAUGCGCGCGAACGCGGCAGCACCAAACUCCGUGGGUUUGGCGGGGCGUUACAAGCAAGGAGUGCGGCCAGACCGGCACCUUUGUCUCCCUCAUCCCUCGUGACUCAUGCGACGAUAUAAACAUUAACUGGACUAUAGCACUCCUAAUGGCCCAGCGCCUUGUGCCUUCCAUAUAAUACGUGAACGCGGCAGCAUCAAACACCUUGGAUCGGAUUGAAUUUCAAGAACUAUAGAAGGAUUCGACUGCUGGUUGGUCCCUUUUCCCCUUUCCGUCUGGGCGGUGCGAAAAGCGACGACGACGAGCGAGUAGCUGCCAAGAGCGAGGGUCAUUUAUGCGCGCCCAUGUAUGAUGCUUGUGCCCCCGGAAGUUCACGCCCGUCCCGUCGCCUUCCACUUUGCAAAUUGGCACGAGAUUGCCUCGGUUUCAAACAUUUGGGGCCAAGUUUUGGGUCCUUUGUGAUGUCAAUGGAUUGAAUUAUUUUUUGAAUGGUCACGGGGGAGUAUCCCCACCUUAAUUGUAUUCAAAUAGUGUGGCAAACUGAUCAAAUACGUCAUUCUUUUGGGG